UACGUAGGGGGCAAGCGUUGUCCGGAUUUAUUGGGCGUAAAGCGCUCGCAGGUGGUUCGUUGCGUCGUGCGUGAAAUCCCCGGCUCAACCGGGAACUGCCGCGGAUACUGGAAGUCUCGAGGGAGGUAGGGGCAUGCGGAACUGCGGGUGGAGCGGUGAAAUGCGUUGAUAUCCGCAGGAACUCCGGUGGCGAAGGCGGCGUGCUGGACCU
rnacentral:rRNA from 1 species